rnacentral:tRNA from 1 species
AGUAAGGUCAGCUAAGUAAGCUUCUGGGCCCAUACCCCAGCCAUGUUGGUUAAAGUCCUUCCUUUACUA